rnacentral:ncRNA from 1 species
UGUGGUGGAUUCGAGAAACGGCUACCACAUCCAAGGAAGGCAGCAGGCGCGCAAAUUACCCACUCCCAGCUUGGGGAGGUAGUGACGAAAAAUAACGAGACGAUUCUCGUUUGAGAAACGUUAUCGAAAUGAGUACGCUUUACACACGCUAACGAGUAGCAAUUGGAGGGCAAGUCUGGUGCCAGCAGCCGCGGUAAUUCCAGCUCCAAUAGCGUAUAUUAAAGUUGCUGCGGUUAAAACGCUCGUAGUUGAAUUGUGGUCUUAGACAACAGUCCCCCUACAAAGGUGUGGCACGGUUGCUCGAGAUCUUCAUUCGUGGUUGCUGUUGUUGCUCUUCAUUGAGUGUCAAUGGUGCCUCGAGAUUUUACUUUGAAAAAAUUAGAGUGCUCAAAGCAGGUUGUGAUGCCUGAAUAAUGGUGCAUGGAAUAAUAGAAUACGAUCUCGGUUCUAUUUUGUUGGUUUUCGAACCGGAGAUAAUGAUUGAAAGGAACAGACGGGGGCAUUCGUAUUGCUGCGUUAGAGGUGAAAUUCUUGGAUCGCAGCAAGAUGAACAAUUGCGAAAGCAUUUGCCAAGAAUGUUUUCAUUAAUCAAGAACGAAAGUUAGAGGUUCGAAGGCGAUCAGAUACCGCCCUAGUUCUAACGGUAAACUAUGCCAACCAGCGAUUCGCCGAAGUUCAUUUAAGACUCGGCGAGCAGCUUCCGGGAAACCAAGUGUUUCGGUUCCGGGGAAGUAUGGUUGCAAGCUGAAACUUAAAGGAAUUGACGGGAAGGCACCACAAGAUGAGCUGCGCUUAAUUGACUCACACGGGAAACUCACCGUCGACCUGAGGAUGAC